rnacentral:misc_RNA from 1 species
AGAGAGGGACGCACUCGCGGACUACUGCAGGCGCCUCCUCAUCGCCCAUUACUUUUUCUGCGAUUUCUUGCACGUUAGUGCUCGCGUUGGCCUUGAGCGCUUCUCACUUCGCCACUCACCCGCUCGUUGCGUUCAAGGAGGCUGCAUCAGCCCAUCUCCCUGCCCCAUACCUCAAGGUCUGUUGGCCAAGAGAGAAGGUUCCUGUCAAAACAGAACGCACACACACACACACACACAUACACACAUACACUCGUACGCAGAUACACGCUCGCUCCCGGUGCAGCCACCUGCGCUGGCAUCGAAGAAUACUUAGCCGCAGUUCGCUCCUUCGCGGCGAGCAGCACCGUCACUGCGUAGAGAAGGAACGAACAAGGCAGAGGACAAGGCGCGCCAGAAGACGCACUGGCGGCGAUAUUGCCGAUAAGAGCUCCAGACGUGAGCGCGCCGCACGGACCCUCCCCCAUCUCCAUCUCUCUUUGUGUGGCCUCUGCCUCACUCUUGUAUUACCGCACCACCGCCACAGCCACAUGAUGAGUCGCCUUCCACACUUUCGCAGUGACUCGGACUUCCACCGCGACGAGGAAAGCUCGCAGAGCAUGUCGCAGGUGCGAGCCAGACCUGCCAUCCGUCUCGACACGUCGCUUUCCUUCAUCAGUACGACAAGCAUUCGGGCAGGCACCGCGAGCGGGCCAGCCAGUCCGCUGCUUGGCGCACUCGGCGGCGACAGUAUCAAUGACGUCAGCAGUAGCGGUGCCGCCGUCUCCUCCCCGACGCCGUUCCACAUGCGCGAUGUCAAUGUAGAGGCGUCUGGGCCGUACUGCCUCCAGUCCCUCAAGGCCAGCCACAGCCGCGCGGUGUCGGACUCGCGCUCUGUUCACUCAUCUUCGCGGCUCUACUCGCAGCAGCAGCAGCCGUCGCAGCACCAACAUCGCCCUCUUUCUCUCUCGCUUUCGUCGUGCUCGCCGUCGGUGAGGAGGGACUGCGACGUCCAAAGUCGGCCUCGACGCGACGGGCAAGCGCGCUGUCUCGCGUCUGAGGCGGACGGCGAUAAGCUGGAAGUCCUGGAGUCGGAGGCCACAGUGAUGACGCGACCCUCAGAUCCAAGGCCAUACGGCAUUGACGCAGACGGCGAGCCUGGGGUGCGCAACCAGCGUGUGAUGAGCUCGACGGUGUCGCCGGCGCCUCGACAUGCUGUGACACUGCCCAGCGACUUCGAAGAUGGGCUGAGCAUGCCAGCCAGCAAGGGUGCACAGCGGCAUGACGAGGAGACGCCGCGGGGCCGGGGCAGCAAGUAUGCCGCACGUGCUGAUGGCUGUGGGAGGCUCAACCUCGACCACGACGCACAAGGGGACGGCCAAGAGGACGAUGCAAAGAGCAUGUCAAGCCCCACCCCACCGCCGCGGCGUGCUUUCGUGCUCUCUCGUCGGUACAGCAGUGCGGACGUGGAGAGCGACGCGCGCGUUGACGACACGGAGCCACCGCGGUCUGCUGCCGAAGAGGCGGAGAGGUGCACGCCGACGCGAAUGCCGCACGUUGAUUUCGCCGCGGACGCGCCACGCGGGAGCACCAUCCUCGUCGUGGACAACGGAGACGAGGACGAGGAGUCCGCCUUUACGGAUGGCCGGUCAACCGCCGCAGUUAUUGCACACGCGAACGCGCACCCGCCCACUGUCGCUCAUGCGCCGCUUGCCGAGGAGCCCGCGGUGUCCCUCACGCUACCGGACGGUCGUCUUGUCCCGGGCGUCGUGGUGGAGGAGGCGGAAAAGGAUGCGCAGCACCGUGCCCCGCUUACCGCCCACCCUGCGACUGCGGCCGAGAGAGAGUCGGCUAGCAGCCACAGUCGAAGCCUGAGCAGUGCAGGCAGCAGCAGUAUGAUGAGCCCGCUUCCCCGGCCUGUACCGCACGUGACGCAGACUGCAGCGACAUCGAAGAGGUCGUCGCCGGCACGUGUGCGAGAGACCGUGGGCGCGGUCUGUGACGAUGCCGGAGACGUGACAGAGCAGCAGCAGCAGCAGCGGGCUGGCACGAAGACGGUUCUGGCGAGCAAGGCCGCGAACGCGCCUGUGAGCUUGACCACCGCCACCGCUGCGACUGCCGCCAAAACUCAGCCUGCGAGCAGCACCCUGAAGUCCAAGCUGCAAGCGACGGCGAUGAUACCAGCGCAGCUGGACGCAGCAGCGUCUCUCCCAACUGCUGCAGACGACGGUCCGGCUAGUGUGACGCCUCUCCACUCCUUCAUGGCGCUGAACAGCAUCUCCGGCCCGUCGUUGUCGGCGACGACAACGGCGAUGAGCUCGCUGUGGCUUGUCAGCGGCUCGACGCCUACCCCGCUCCGCCGACGCCGCGACCGCGAUAGGGAGGUGUCUGCAACGCUGCACACGCAAGAAGGAGAGGCAGAGGAGACGAGCAAGGACAGUGACACCGCCCGAGCUCAGACGGAGCGUGCGCUAAAGCUGGCGGAUGAAGCCAGCACCUCAGCAGUGACGGCACCAGAAGCGGGAGUCGAAUUGCAGGGGAGCACCCAUCAGUGCACCGCUCCCGCUGACACUUCUGUGGAAGCCGAGCAGCUGAUCGCCUCAGCAGAGGGCGCGCAUCACCACUGCAGCUUCUCAGCUCCCCGACACACCGCUGCAAACUCCGCCGCGAGCCCCGCGGUCUCAGCACCGUCCUUUUCACCGGAGCCGGCGCGCCCACAGGCUGAGGCGUACUGCCUGUCAUCGCCGCCUCUCGCAGCCGGCUCUGCCACCUCGGCCUCCGUCCAGCUGAACUUUCUCUCGGCCGAAGACGACGCGGUGACGCCUGUCGACCUGCCGCCACUGCCUGCCCCUGAGGCGGCGACCACGCAGCAUCGGUACAGCACGGCGACACCCCCACCUUUCGCCGCCGCCGGUACGCUCCGCAGGCCCUCGGAGGCGGCGCCGUCGAUGUCCCGGCCGUCUUCAGCCGAGUCUGCGCGUGUCAGCGAGGAGGUGAAGGAGCUGGUGAGGCGCGCGCAAGCCGAGGUGUGCCGGACACGGGAGAGUCUUCUCUCUGCCCUGCGGGACCACCGUGCCAGCUUCCACUUGCCGGAGACGUCGCCGACUGCAGAGAAUACACUCUCGACUACCGCGCCGACGCCUGUCGCGCAGUUGACUGCGACGGUGUCGACCACCGCGUGCGCGUCGCUGAGCGUCUCACCCACGCUGAAGCGCAGUCUCCCACUCUCCACUGUCACCGUGGCCGCAGUGGAGCCGUCUGCGCCGCCAUCGGCUGCGCUGAAAACCGCCUCUGUGUCUCCUACGCGUACGUCGAGGGAGUGGCGAUCUGCCGCCAUUGCCCUGCGGCCACAGCUGAGGGCCGCUGCGGACGCCAUCCUGCGACGCCUGCAGGGCUACGACGCGAGGGAUCACGGCGUCCUGCCAAUGGAGACGGUCGUGCGUGUCACGUACUUUGUCAUUACGCGACGGCAGAUGCCGCCCGCGACUUGGUCGCUACGAACAGCAGAGGGCGCCUUGGCUGCCACACCGAUGCGGGCCUCCAUGGUCGCGUCGGGUGGUGGUGCGGAUACUCGCUCCGAUAGUGCGCACCUUCCGUCUCACCAUGUUGAGGGCCGCCGUGCGGUGCUGCUAUCGGGGACGCCGCUUAGCCGUCAGCUGAGCAGCAGCGAGGCCGGUGAGCCUCGUCACCGAGCCGCGACAGCGUCACACAAGCUCUUCGAGACACCGCGCCAGCAGCGCCUCUCCCUCGAUGCACACGACACGACGACGCGGGUCGGGGGGAGCGGCUCGCCCUUCUCGUCCUCGCAUCUGAUCGGCGUAGCGCAGCCUCCGGACUGCAGCAAGUCGGACGCAGAUGCGGAUGGCGACGACAAGGCGGCGAAGCCGGAGUGCUGCGGCCGUCCGGCGACGUGCAUCUCCCCCAGCCGGACGCUCGAGCAUGUUAUGAUGCUGCAGCAACGCCGCGCCGAGGAAGAGCUGUACCUGCAGUUCUACUUCACCGUGCUGGAGGCUUUCAAGCAAGUGUUUGGCGAGCGGUACGCUUGGCGUCACCUAGGGGCCACCAAUGCCAGCCGCCACGACUGCGCCAUCAACGUUGCCCAGCCGGCGCAGAAGCGGCGAAGAACAAGUAGUGCGGCGCCGUCAGAAUGCAGCGAUCUCCGCGGCCACGCGCACGUGACCGCAACAGAGGCGGAUGCGGAGCAGACUCAGCUGGAUGUGGCGAACGAGUUAAACGACGUGACGGGGCCGCUGGAAACGCUCUUUCCACGACUUCGCCAGCAGUACGCGCUCCUUCAGCGGGAGAGGCGCGACCCCGCUGCUGCGGCACCGAAGUCGAUCGUGGCGAGCACAGGCAAUUCACUGAUGGUUCCCCGGACAACUUCCGAGCUCGUGCGCACGGAGGCGGCUGCGGCUGCAGUGGGCCUCGCUCACCGACCUCCUCCACUGGAUGUUCUCGUGUACUACCGCAAGUUUAUAGAAAGCCUAAGGGAGCUCUGAGCAGGCAUCGAAGAGAGAGGAGGAGGCCAGAAGCCGACAUGGCCUGUGCACGUGCACACUUAGGCUCGAGAGAGAGUGGCCAGGAAGGGAGAGGGCGGCGUGUGCGUGCGUCUUUCCUCGUUUUUUUUUUCAGUGUGCGUCAGGAGUACCUCCUCCUUCUCCCUUAACAGGCUGUGUCGUGCUUGAUAUGCCGGCAGCCUGCUUGUGUGCCAUGAUCUACUCUGUGCUGGUGCGUGCCGGUUUCGCGGGUGCCCCCUCUCCAGAGAAGUAUGCGGGGUGAGGGCGCGGGUGGAGACACGGACACAGCCUGUCAUGCUUUGCUUUCUACACGCUGCCUCGUCGUUGGCGUGAAGGAUGUGGAGGAGGGAAAAGCAGGGGCGUGUGCAUCCGCCGGCGGUCCGGCGCCUUAGGGUUAUACAUGCCCCUGCGUCCCUCCUCCUCUUUUUGGUUGAUGUAUUUACCCCCCCCCCCUUCGGCAGACACAGACAUGCGAAGAGCAGCAGUUGCGAAGAGAACACAUGGCGCCUGCAUGUAUCGGUGGCUCUGCCCCCCUUCCCCGCUCUGUAUUCGUGUCUAUGCCGUUUCCUUUGGGCACUCCUCUGAAUUUUUGAUCGUUUUGGGCUAUAGAGGUUUUUGUUGCCGUGCCUCCUCGAACUCCUCCCUUCGCCCUCUCCGACUCUGGCGUCUCCUUGUAUUUAGACAACGCGCGCAUGUUGUUUGUCUGCUUGCCCCAUCACCUCACCUUCGUCGCUCCUUCGCGUGAUUUCAUCGCCUCCUCGGAGCUGGGCGCACCGGAAGGGGUGCGCCAGAAGGGUCAGGCUGGCGGGGAGGAGGGUAUGGCUGCAGGAGGCGUCUAUAACAUGGCGCGCAUUGGUAUUUCCGAACAUAGAUCUCUGCCCCCACCCCUUACACAUCCACACCAGCGCGUAUGCAGAUAAUGUAAGAGCGAGAUUUGCUUGCGCCUGUGUGAUGAGACACCACUCUUCUGACAUGCGAUGCGCAGCCGUGCUGGCGUAAGCACAUCGCACAUGACGGUGUCUUCGCAUACGUGGCCCCUGUGUUUGUGGGCAACUAGAUGCUGAUCAGUUAACACGGAACCUAUUCUCUUUGUUUUUCUUUUUUUUUUGCUCUGCGUGGACACACUUCGUGCGUGGGACGGAAUGAGCGUGACCGUACACUCACCCCGGCCCCUCUUCCCCAUCUUCCUUCAUCCUUGCAGCUGCAAUGGCACUCCCCUCUGCCUCUUCCUGUCCGAGAUAACCAAGAAGGCGCAGAGGCACACACGCCAGCUGCCACACAAAUGCAGAUGCGCGCGUGCAUGUAUCAGUGAGCAAUUUGUUCCACGAAUAGAGUAGCCCUCGCAUG